UCCUGGCUCAGGAUGAACGCUGGCGGCGUGCUUAACACAUGCAAGUCGAACGAAGCUAAGGGAGCUUGCUCCCAAAGCUUAGUGGCGGACGGGUGAGUAACGCGUGGGUAACCUGCCCUAUAGAGGGGGAUAACGUUCGGAAACGAACGCUAAUACCGCAUAAACCAUAAGGAGCUGCAUGGCUCUGAUGGCAAAGAUUUAUCGCUAUAGGAUGGACCUGCGUUGGAUUAGCUAGUUGGUGAGAUAACAGCUCACCAAGGCGACGAUCCAUAGCCGGCCUGAGAGGGUGAACGGCCACAUUGGGACUGAGACACGGCCCAAACUCCUACGGGAGGCAGCAGUGGGGAAUAUUGCACAAUGGGCGCAAGCCUGAUGCAGCGACGCCGCGUGAAGGAAGAAGGUCUUCGGAUUGUAAACUUCUAUCAGCAGGGAAGAAUAAAUGACGGUACCUGACUAAGAAGCCCCGGCUAACUACGUGCCAGCCGCAGC
rnacentral:rRNA from 1 species